CAUCGGGACUGGGGUCGGGUGCGGAGUGCCCCUCGUCCCGGGAAACGGGGCGCAGC
rnacentral:miRNA from 1 species